GGAGCUGUUCUUGGCCUCGGAGGCUUCGGUGAAGAAUUUGAAAAUAGACGGGAAGCUCUUCCAGGAAGCUCUCAAAAGCACAGACCUCUGCGGUGCAGCCAAUAGGAAGAGGAGGUGAAGGAAAGAGGUUUCAGCUGUACCUCUGGAGUAUCUGGAGAUUAAAGUCAGCAAUGCAGGUGGUCAACCAUGUCAAUAUGAGCUGAGUCCCAAUAAAAAUUCUGGACACCAUGGUUCAAACAAGUACUUUAGAACUGUGGUAUUGGAUAAGACUCUUGAGAGUCCCUUGGACUGCAAGGGGAUCAACCCAGUCUAUCCUAAAGGAGAUCAGUCCUAAUAUUCAUUGGAAGGACUGAUGCCGAAGCUGAAACUCCAAUACUUUGGUUACCUGACGCGAAGAGUCAACUCAUUGGAAAAGAACCGGAUGCUGGGAAAGACUGAAGGCAGGAAGAGAAGGGGACGACACAGGAUGAGAUGGUUGGAUGGCAUCACUGACUCAAUGGACAUGAGUUUGAGUAAACUCCGGGAGUUGGUGAUGGACAGGGAGGCCUGGCUGCUGCAGUCCAUGGGGUCACAAAGAGUCAAACACGACUGAGCGACUGAACUGAACUGAUCAAAGAGGAAUGAGAUUGAAACACAUGAAUGGUCCAACAACAACAAAAUUGCCCAAACUGGAAAGCAUUUUUCUUCCUGAUCGGUAACCAGUAUACUGCAGGCAAGAAAGAAUACAAAUAUUAAAUGCAUUUUUCUAUUUAGUUUUUGUAGGCUUUUCUUUCUCCCUUCAUUCCCUCAUUAAGUUCAUCUUUUAAAGCCAGAUAAAAACCUGCUGUAAGAUCCACAUUUCCUGGUUAUGUUUCUAAAGAUGGGCAUUAAAUACAGAAGUUUUGCACAGUAGUUGUGUCCCCAAAUAAAAUGAUGACCCAUGCCACAGUGACCUGAUAUGGACACAGUUAAUAGAAUACAGAAAAAACUAUUACUGUUGUAGGUUAGCAUGAUACUUCUAAGAAAUCUGCAUUUUCCUUUUUUAUAUCCAUAUUAUUAUUAUUAUUUUUGUUAAAACAGCACUUUGAAUGUGUUUUGAGUGUGGAAAGAUCAGUGUUUGUUCUCAGCUGACAAAAAAUGCCAAUUUUCCAUAAGCCACAAAUACAAAUGAACUUUAGAUGGCCAAUCAAUAGGUCAUUUCCUAAACAUCAGGUUUCUGUGUAGGCAUUCCAGAUCCAGUAUUUUUAAAAAGAAGAACAUUUUUUCCCCCCAACACAGCACAAUAAGCUUUUUGCAGACUUUCACACAGAAAGCAACAUUUUCAAUUUUAUAUAACUCACAACUCUUCCUGACACAAAGGAACAGCCAAAAAGAUGAGGGAUAGCAUGGGUCUCAGUGAAAUAUGGGAACUGUAAAACUCUUGUUUCUUAUCUUUAAAAGUGAAAUAGAGAAAAUGCUGAGAAUCUGGGAUGAUGCAAGCCUAAGACACUGACAUGUAGAAUCUAACAUAAUUAUUAGAGAACAUGUUUUGAAAUUUUGGGAAUG